GGCUUCAAAGCUCAGUGGGUUAGAGUGUCGCACCAGUGUUGUGAGGUCAUGACUUCAAUCCCUGUUGAAGCCC
rnacentral:tRNA from 1 species